CGGGCGUCAGCGGGAAGCCCGAGGCGGCGGCGGCGGCGGCGGCGGCGGCGGCCGCGGCGCCGUCGCAGAUGCUGUUGGUCUUGGAGAGGAUGUAGAGCGUCUCGUACGUGUGGCUGUACUCCAGGUUUUCAGGUGUGUGAGUCUCAUCUCCUCAAACAAGGCCAACCAUCCCAAGAUGUGUGUCUUCUCUGGCUCCUGUCUACUGUCACAUUCUCAUGGACUCUGCCAGAAACACAGAGAAUCUUGCACUUUCAUGGUUUCCACUACCACAUAGGCCCUGAGAAUUCCUGCAAUGGACAUUCGUAUUUUUAUCUGCUCGGCAAGCCUUCUUCACCUUCCGGUGAUACAACAUCUCAUUCUUUCUCUGAUGAGGAAGCUAAAGUUCAGAGCCCAAUGAAUGGCACAGUCAGGAUGUGAACUCAAGUCAAUGAACUCCAAAGUCUGCACUUCAACACAGUGCCCUCCUGCAACCCCUUUGCUGUAUUAAGCCUACUGCACCCUCCUCUGCCAAAGGACAGAUUCCCCAAAUCCACCUGCUUUUGCAGAGAACCAAAAAUGUCCAUAUAUUGUCUUGAUUCUACCUUUGUUCAGAUUAUGUUUGUCUGUCCUCACUCUAUGCUUCCUAUGAAUAUGAGAAAACAAUCCAGGGCAGGCCUGUGUAUGUAUGUACGUAUGUGCUUUUGUGCAUAUGUGUACGCAUGCAGGUAUGUAGCUAUGCAUAUGCACAUAUGUGCGCGUGUGAGUACAUGCAUAGGUGAAUGCAUGCAUGUGUACACAUGUGGGUGUACGUGUGCAUGUAUGAAUGUGUCUAUUAGUGAAUACACAUGUGUAUGUAUGUGGGUGUGUAUACGUGUGGGGGGAUAUGCACGUAUAUGUGCACAUGCGCAUAUGUGUGUAUGCAUGUGCGCAUGUGUGCUCAUGCUACAUUUCACAGACAACAGUUCCUGCUUGGUUGUUAUGGGAACCACAGUUCUAAAAAUGUUAAACUGAAUCCCACUCCAUGUGGGCCAGAGAAACCAAAAGAGAGAGAGAACUGAGUGGCAGACACAUCUGGGGGCCCAGAGCUGAGGUACAGAAUCAUGGGCUCAGCAAGAAUUGGACAGGCACAGACCAGCCAGAUGUGUGGUCCCACUCAGGAGACCCCCAUGGCUUGGAUCAGGACCUCAGUCCUGCUUCUGCCCAUCUCUCCCUCCUGAUCUUUUCUCAGCUUCAUGCUCUCCAAACACCUUCCUUCCUUCCUCUUUCCCCCUUUCUUUUCCUUUCUCCUUUUAGCACUUUAGACCUUUAUGGGGGGCCAACCAACUAAUGGAGAUCAGUCAAUAAUAAUUAAGCACUUAAGUGUGCUGGGCAGUAGGCAUGAUGAUAUGGAGCCCACACACAUGGAUCAUACAUGGUCAAGGAUGGGAGGAUUUGGAUAAUACACAAGGAGAGAGGAGACGAGAGAGCAAAGGGAGAGAAGGCAGAGGAGGGUGAAAGAUGAAUCUGGAUCAGAUACGGAAGGCUUUAACGGCAGUGCAUAUUUUUUUGUAGGAAAGUGGAAGCUCUGGUCAUUUUGGGAUACAAUACUAUGAAUAAUGUUUUAGGGAAGUUGUAUCAGUAGUGAUGCACAAUGUGGAACGGAGGGAGAGAGACCACAGGAAGCAGUUUGGUACAGUGCAGGCUUGUCUCAAACAGGGCACAGGGGUUGGGGGGAUGAGGGAAGAAAUAGCAGGCAUUCUGGGUUGCUUUGUCAAACUCUCCCCUGUAUCCCACUUCAUCAAGAUUCUUACUACUCUUCCCUGUAUCUCCACGGUCAAAGGACUAGGGUGACCUUUGUUACUGAUGUAUGUGUUGAAUUCUUCAAGUAUACUGGAAAGGAAACAAGUUGGGAACCACUGGCCUAGCAUAUGGUAGGUGCUCAAUAACACUUGUGGAACAACUAGAUAUGGGGAUAUAUCCUGGUCUUGGAACUGGAAGGCCCAGGUUCGAGGCCCACUUUAGUCUCUCAUUCUCUGUGUGCCCUUAAGAAAAUCCCCAAAUCUCUGGGGCCUCAGUUUCUUUCUCUGUACAUUGAGGGGUCAGAAAGGAUGUUGUUAUAAAUUCCUUCCAACUACAUGUUAUGUGAUUCUAUGUGAUCGUCAUAGCCAUGGUGUUUGUGUACGUGCAGGGAGCGGCACUGACUGAGGUGCUGGCAAUAGGCACAGAGAAGAUAAACAUGGGAAAUAUUUUAAGAGAGGAACCAACAUGUUCUAACUUCAUUUU